AUGGACCCUCUGUACUGCGCAGUGUGCUCGUAGUGGAGGCAGCGGCAGGUGGCAGCGCUCUCUGGCUUGGUCUUCCUGCAGAGGCAGAGAAGUGCCUCUGUAUUGGUUAGGCCAUGCUGCGCUGGCUGCAGGACUUCGCGCUGCCUGACUCGGCCUGCCAGACUGAAGAGGACUCCUUCCUCUACCAGAUCCUGACUGAAAGCCUGGAUCACAAUGGCGACGGCGUGGUGGACAUCAUCGAGCUCAGCGAGGGGCUGAGAAACUGGAGCUGCUCGUUUGGCAUGAGCUCAUAAAAGAAAAAAAUGGAAUUUUUAAAAGAAGUAGAAUAAAGCAACCAGUCCUGAGCUAAGUCUUGAUUCAACUUGAGUUAAAGUUGUUAAACUCAAAUCAGUUGUCCUAGAGUCAAUCUCAGAAGGUUCAUGUGUUGGAAGUGUGGUUACCAGCUAACGGACUUUUGAGAAGUGAUUGAAUCCUGAGGGCUCUGACCUUAUCAAUCAAUUCCUUGAUGUAUUCACAAUAUGACGGCAUUAUUGGGAGUGUGAAACUCCUCAACCUUUGCAUAUUGAACCAGUUUGAAAUUCUUCUCCCCGUUCCCUGACACUGAACUUUCCAAUCACACUUCUGGUAUCUGAAGUCUUGCAGCCUCUGGACAAUAAGAAGUGCUUGUGAUCAACUGAAGGGAAGGUCUUCAGGUGAUCUUUGCCUUUGCAGGUGAAGCAAGUGUGCUAUCUAGAUCAGCUAAGCGUAUCUAAUAUGAACUUCGUUUUACUUGCUGUAAAGUGGUGAACGUAUAUAUUUAGACAAGUAUUUGAAGCAUGUUUUUCCAAUUCCCUCUCUAUUAAGCAUUCUUGCAUUUUUGUUUAAAACAAAUACUCUCCAAUAGUACAUGGUCCAAACAUAGGUCUACUUGGUAUCUGUCACACAAGAACACCUAACCCCCAAAGUCAUUAUACUGUCUGAAAAAGAUUCUGGAAAUUUCAGAUUUGGUGUGUUUAAAGGAUCACAUCAAUUUAGCAUUAAUCUCUACCCUUAUAAAAAGGUUUAGAGUUUGACUAAAAAAGUUUAGACUUGACUCAAUUCAAUAUGCGGCUGAAAAGCUAAACUCACCUGAGUUUGACUGACUUACAGUAAGCCUAGGAAAUAUGAAGCUCAGUUUUAAACUUUACCUGGAAAGAUGAGAUACAAUUGGCUUUAUUUUCUCUUUCCAAUCUCACAUGCAUGCCUCCCAUAGGCAGAAUGUAUUAGCAACAAACAGUAGAAUGAAUAAGGCUGUAUGUGAAUGUGAUACCCAUAGAGCAAAGAAGAAAAGACAGGUAGCGUAGUUUUACAGCAGUUGUUUCCUUAUUUUGUUAGGAGGUUGUAGUGAUAGUUAGCUGCAACCUGUUUCAUUGCCAUUUCAUGUCCAUUUUUCCUAUGUUUAUAUUCCUUGUUCUUCACCUGUUCUGAGUUAAUUACCUGGAAGCAUUAAAGAAGACCAGUUUUAUACUUCCUAGCAUGAUGCAAAUCUUCAUUUAAGGAAAUAUCAAAAAUCUUCAGUGCUCCUCCCUACUUAGGAUUCAUAUAGUUUUUCAUUAAUUUUGUGACUAAGCUAGCAAUACUAUGAGGUAGAACAGAACACCUUACAAGUUCCUCUUAAUCAUUAAUCCUCCUCACACCCACAAAAUCACAAAUUUGGAUUAGAAAAAUAACCACUUUGGUCUAUAUCUUACUUCCUUUUUCAUGCCAGUGGUCUUAUGAUAUGAACUACAAUGUUUGAUCAUCUCAGUUGCUAGAGCAAUGCAAGCAUUGUAGAAUUGCUGUCAAAGCAAAAAUUAUACAACAAAAAUAAGCAAAGAAGACCUUAUUCAAGACCAUUGCAACAGAGAUGGGGAGAGAACAUAGUUUAGUCUGAGCUCAGUUCUACUGAUUUAAAAUCUCAGGAGAGUUUUUAAGAACUGAUGUAGGGGAAUACAAUAGGUCAUCUGUGUUUGCUGACUGCUUUACUUAAAGGAAAGUAAACUUCCUGACAUGACAGAAAGAUAGUUUACCAUGACGUAGGCAGUUUUUGCAACACAGAAAAAGGUACCUCCUUCUACCCCCCACAGAAUCUGUUAGGCUCAUAGUUAUCCAGAUAAUCUAGAGGAUAGACCUCCAUUUCCAUUGAUGCUUAUAAUUCAAAAUAAUGGCUCUCAGUCCUGGAGAAAGACAUUGCUAGACUGUAAAACAGGUGAGAGGCUUUUAAAAGAUUUACAUCUUAAAGGGAUAAAGAAAAGAUUAACUUUUAAAAUUUUUCUAAAGUAAAGGCUUUAAGAAAAGGGAUUUUAAGGCCUAGAGUCUUAAGUUUGGUAUGACUGAGAAAAAGUUGAGGUUGUCUUGAUUUAUUCCAGUGGCAUUAUUUCUCCAUUUAAUACUGACUCAUUAAUAGGAAAAAUAAUUUUUAAUGUCUCUCCUACAUUUACCCCAUGGUUAUCUGAUCUCUAUGCAUUAUGGGUAUGGGAGAAACAGAAUUAUUUGCUAGUGACAGUCCAGUACCUUCAGGAGACAGGGAUCCCACUCUGCCUUGCUAUCCAUGACAGCAACAGAGAACUGUUCCAUUGUACAUAAAAGCUGGAUUGAUGCUAUUGCUCUCACUGAAAUCUCAAUGGCGACAAUGCCCCACCUGUACAAAAGGCUCUAGAAGACACUUUUGAACUGUGUUUCUAUGAUUUUGAUUUUCAUCUCUCUAAUGAACUAUCCACAUAAAGGUGAAGGAAGUGACCUCUGGGCUUCGCUGUGGAGUUUACUUAAUUGGGUAAGCCCAAUAUAUAUGCUAAAUCAACUUGGACAUUCUCUCUCUAAGUCUGUGAAUUCUUUCUUCAAGAAAUGCAGUAUUGCAUAAAAGUGAAUUUUUAGCUACCUAUGUCAUUUUGCACUUGUUUUUGUGGAGCAGACGGUUUUAAAUCAAGGUCUUGCACUCACUAGGCAUGUGCUCUUCCACUUGAGUCAUGCCUCCAGCCUUUGUAAUUUUAAAUUUUCUAGUAGCCAGAUCAAAAGAAAAAAAGGAAAGAGAAGGAAGAUAUGUGCAAAAACAUUUUAAUUACAUAUAUUUGAUUUAACUUAAUACAUUCAAAAUAUUACUACAACAUAAUCAAUGUAAAAUUUUUAUUGCUAUUUUAUUUGCUAGGCAGGUGCUCUACCACUUGAGUCAUGCCCCCAGCUCUUUUU